CUAGGAAUCUGCCUGGUAGUGGGGGACAACGUUAAGAAAGGAACGCUAAUACCGCAUACGUCCUACGGGAGAAAGCAGGGGACCUUCGGGCCUUGCGCUAUCAGAUGAGCCUAGGUCGGAUUAGCUAGUAGGUGAGGUAAUGGCUCACCUAGGCGACGAUCCGUAACUGGUCUGAGAGGAUGAUCAGUCACACUGGAACUGAGACACGGUCCAGACUCCUACGGGAGGCAGCAGUGGGGAAUAUUGGACAAUGGGCGAAAGCCUGAUCCAGCCAUGCCGCGUGUGUGAAGAAGGUCUUCGGAUUGUAAAGCACUUUAAGUUGGGAGGAAGGGCAGUAAGUUAUUUCCUUGCUGUUUUGACGUUACCGACAGAAUAAGCACCGGCUAACUCUGUGCCAGCAGCCGCGGUAAUACAGAGGGUGCAAGCGUUAAUCGGAAUUACUGGGCGUAAAGCGCGCGUAGGUGGYUCGUUAAUUGGAUGUGAAAGCCCCCGGGCUCAA
rnacentral:rRNA from 1 species